UACUAAUUCAAGAUAAGGUAUGUAAGUAAAGACAUCAUCUAGUUUUCAGACCAGCAACUGAAAAGGAAAAUUUCAGAAAGCUUAUAGGCACGCAUGAGCUUCUUCAGAUCUACAGUAGAAGCAGGAAGCUUCCAAGGCAGGUAAUGGAAGAGAAAAGCUGUCAGUUUGAUUAGCUGUGUAUCAGACUAUCUCUGAAGGAAAGGUGGUUGGUACCUAUCAAGUAGAAGGAUAUUAAUGGAACACAGAGAAGGAUGCUGAGGCAGUUAUCUCCUGAGGCAAUAUUGUGUAGAAAAAGGGGAACAUGGAGAAAUUAUCAGGAAGAGAAAUUGUAUGCCAUAAAAAGCCACUCCUACAAAGCCAUUGGCUUUGGGGUAGAAUAAAGUUACAGAAUUUAAUUUCUCAUAUUUGGCAGAAGUCUUGUAAGCUUCCUUAAUCCAGUUUUUGAACAAACAAGCAAGGAGAGUUUGUAUUUUUGGAAGGUUUUAAAAAGCCUUAACAUAGCUUACCUUUGCAUAAAUGGAGGGCAAAUGCAGCACACUUUCCCACUUCUUGAAUAUCCAGCACGUAUGUUAAAAAAACAGCCUCCAUAACCCCUCAUGUUCUCUUCGGGGAAGACUUAUAUCUACUUAGAAGAUCUGAAGAACAUGCAGCCAGGAUUGUGUCUUGUGCCCAAUGUCCCCACACUCCAUCCUUGGUGGAACUCUGCAUACGAAUGGGCUGCUCCUGGGCACAGGAAGAAUGGCUGUGUUGUUGGGGAGCUGGAUAUCCUGUGUUUUCUGAGCAUGUUCACAAAGACAGCCACAGUUCAGCAGAAAGUUGCACUGAGAACAAGAAAAAGCAGGGAAAAGUCAUUGUAAUUUAUUCCUAGUGCCGACAAGAGGGGAAAAUGAGGCAUUUACUGGUUGAGACAGACUCAGAAACUUGGAAGAUGCUCAACCACUCUUCGUACAGCUGAAGGGAUGUAGUUUUCCCUUGUUCUAACACUGACCUAUUCAUUUCUUAC
rnacentral:lncRNA from 1 species